GGCGUGGCCCUUUAUUUUUUAAAAUACAGUUCGAACCGAUUUAAGGGGAUUGAAAUAGGUCUCCUAAACAAGGUUCAGGGUCGGUUUAAGCCCAUAAAUUAUUGACCAGGGCCGGGCAGAACUGGCCUAAUCCGGUUCAAGCCUAAAUGACCCGUGGGCAGUUCUACUUGUACGCACGUCUUGCUUUCGACCACACCCGUCUUUACCCAAGGAAGAGCUAAUGAGCAAUGGGCACCCUGGCCUCUGGUUUUGGAACUUCGGUGUUCGGCGAUUACCUGUUUGACAAUAUUCCCAUAAGAAAUCUGCCUUGCUUUGAACCUCUUGGCUAACUUCUACUUUCUAGCUACUGAUUAUCAGAAGUUUCCUUUUGUUAAAGAUGGUAAUCAGUGUAACAAAAGUGUGCAGUUCUCGAGUUCCUUUUCCUCAUUUUCUCCUCCAGAUAGCUUUAUUGCGCUCAAUUUCUUCACUUGAACAUAACAUCAAAGCUAAAGUAGAAGCCAAGGCCUAUCAAGAGAUUCCUGACCUUCUUCAAUCCUACGGAGAAGAAUCUUUCGAAAAUCCUAAUCCUUUCUCCUUCCUCUCCACCUUCCCUUUGAAUCUCAGAACUCAGGUGGUUGACGAAAUUUUACAAUCUUUUAUCCCUUUGAGACCCCGUUCUCGCCCCCAUCUUGUCUAUUCGUGUCUCCUUUCUUGCACCCUUCAAAGUCCCAAUCCUCUCCCUCUUGCUCUGGCCAUUCUCCAGCGCACUCUUCGUUCUGGGUGUUCGCCUGCCCCCCAAACACGUCUUCUUCUCUCCUCUGCUUGGUUUGAUCGAAGACGGCAAUCUCAGACUGUAGCUAAUAUUCUACAGGAGAUGGAAUCUAUUGGGUAUAAUCCAGACUCUGGUAUUUGUAAUUAUCUCGUGUCUUCUCUUUGUGCUGUUGAACAGCUGCCGGAGGCAGUGAAGGUCCUGAAGUGUAUGGGUAGGGCGGGAUGUGUUCCUGAUUUGGAAGGUUACGGCUUUGUAAUUGGCUCAAUGUGCACAGCCAGAAGAACUGCUGAUGCAGUAGAGCUGUUGAAGGAAAUGGUGGUCAAAAUUGGAUUGAACCCAAGGCAUGGAACCGUGGUGAAAGUAGCAGCGGCAUUGCGGGCAAAUAGAGAGAUAUGGGCAGCAGUUGAGAUGAUUGAAUUCUUGGAGAAGGAAGGCUGCCCUGUCGGAUUUGAGAGCUAUGAGCUGGUGCUUGAGGGGUGUUUGGAGUGCAAAGAAUAUCUUUUGGCUGGAAAAGUGGUGAUGAGAAUGACAGAGAAAGGGUUUAUACCUUAUAUCAAGGCCAGACAAAAGGUGGUAGAGGGGCUUGCUGGUGCCGGUGAAUGGAAGCUUGCUUGUGCUGUAAGGCAAAGGUUCACUGAAUUGAGUUCAUAGUUUUUAUGGGAGUGCAUUGUGAUAUCUGCUGGUGAGAAGCAAAUGAGUUCACACAUGUAGUGGCUAAUAUGGUUUGUUUAUUUUUCCUUUUUAAUUCCCCUAGCUGCAAGAUAUUCUAUUGUCUAGUGACGACUAAUCCACGGUGGUAUUUUUUCUCAUGCCGUGGCCAAGAGGAUGAUGGAUUUGAAAUCCAUGGUGCGUGUUGAAACAAGUGUACAGGUUUAUGCUUUCUAAAUUUGUUAUAUGUUGUUUGUUGCAUUAUAGCAUAUUUGUUGGAGAAUCAUGCCAAUUUUUCAUUAUAUUACAUAUAUAUAAGAUCAACUUUGUUGGAAUUGGAAGCGUUCAAUAUGUAAGGCUAUUUUAGUUUUCAC
rnacentral:misc_RNA from 1 species